GACGAACCGUGCGAACGUUGUUCGGAAUCACUGGGCUUAAAGGGCGCGUAGGCGGCUUGCCAAGUCCGGGGUGAAAUCCUCCAGCUUAACUGGAGAAGUGCCCUGGAUACUGGCGAGCUCGAGCGAGGCAGGGGUUGUGGGAACUUCCGGUGGAGCGGUGAAAUGCGUUGAUAUCGGAAGGAACGCCGGUGGCGAAAGCGCACAACUGGUCCUCUUCUGACGCUGAGGCGCGAAAGCCAGGGGAGCAAACGGG
rnacentral:rRNA from 1 species